rnacentral:rRNA from 1 species
GAUGACCGCUGGCGGCGUGCCUAAUACCUGCAAGUCGAGCGACCGGACGAGUAGCUUGCUUCUCUGAUGUUAGCGGCGGACGGGUGAGUAUCACGUGGAUAACCCACCUAUAAGACUGGGAUAACUUCGGGUAACCGCCCCUUCUACCGGCUAACCUUUUCUACCCCAUGGUUCAAAAAUGAAAGCCGGUCUUGCCGGUCCCUACACAUAGAUCCGCGCUGCAUUAGUUAGUUGGGAAAGUAAGCGCUUACCAAGGCAACGAAGCAUAGCCGACCGGAGAGGGUGGACGGCCACACGGGAACCGAGGGACGGUCCAGACUCCUACGGGAGGCAACAGUAUGGACUCUUCCGCCAUGGGCGAAAGCCUGACGGAGCAACGCCGCGUGAGUGAUGAAGGUCUUCGGUUCGUAAAACUCUGUUAUUAGGGAGGAACAUGUGUGUGGGGAACUGUGCACAUCUUGACGGUACCUAAUCAGAAAGCCACGGCUAACUUCGUG